AGAUGGGGGGUGGGUGUGGGAGCAGCUGGCAAGAGGAAUGGGUGAACUCCAAGAGGAGCAAGCAGGAAGAUGUGGGAGAUGGAUACAUUGGAUUUGAAAGGAUGGCACACAGUCCCAAGCUGCCCUAUCUGAAUGUGUCAUCCCUUCCUGCCUCUCUGUGCUCUGCCACUUCCCCACGACAUCGUGAUUGGAAUUAGAAUAAACCCAUAGAAGAGGAGAAGAGUCCUUCAGGAUGCUUAUUUUUAACUAUUAUGGCCAGAUCUGCAGCAGCUGCUGGUGUCAUCACAGGGAAAGCAAGAACUCCUGGCUCAAAGAGAACAAGAAGCCCCUGCUUUCCCACCAGAGUCUCAGCCAGCUUCUGCCAUGCCUCUCAGGCUCACCAUGGAGCCACUUUCCCUAUGACAUUGCACAUGGUGCAUAUGGGGACUGCCUCUGGAGAAGGCUCCAUGUUUGCUUUUCCUUCACUUAAUCCAGGGAGCCACUUUCUCUUUCAUUAUUUUAUUCUUCUAUCAUUUUAACUUUAGUUUCCCAGGAGCUUCUCAGAAGCAGGUGAAAGUGAUUGUGAUGAAGACGUGAGGCAUCCUUAACCCCGGAGUCACCCUGCUGCCAUUCCCACCUGUGUGAGCCUGUGACUAAAGGACAUCUAAGUUACUAAAGACACACCUAAAUUGCUUGGCUCCUUUCUAAAUAUUUCUUACAGCUGCCCUCCCCACCCUGCUGGGGAAAUUGCACCCAAGGAAAGUGGAGUGCCUUUGCCAUGCCCAGGUAGAGCUGGAGAGACCCCAUGCUAAAGGGACCCAUUUUCCUCAUCAAAAAAUAAUGGAAGGAUAGCAAGGCAAGGUGUGAGCUUAGUUUAAAUAUGGAUCUUUUUGAUGAAGUCCUGUGGGUAAGUCAGCUAGGAACAAGCCAUCUUAAAGCAGUUUUGCUGCAUUCUUCAUUCACAAAACUAGAAACUAAGUAGUUUACUGCGACACUCAUUGAAUCUGCAGCUCCUUGGCUGAGGUUGCCUUCGAGGUCCUUCUAGCCUUCUCAGGGGUAUAAAAGAAAGCUUUUGUCCCUGGUGGCUGGGUUCCAGCUGGACACUGGGCAAGAUUCAGACUCCAAGAUUCAUCUCCCAGAUCCCUACACCAAAAAUUUAGAGGUGAAACUCAGUUGCAGGGAUCUUGGAUAUCAACGGGGCUAGCGUAGAAGCCUAGGGAGCCCAAGGCUGAUGCUGUUUGAGGAGGAUGCUGUUCUCAUUCCCCGGCUCUUUGUGGACAUCUCAGGUACUUUGCACACCACUAGGGAGCUGAGCGUGGGCUGCUGAGACUUGUCUUUGAGAUCUGCAAUGGAAAGCUAUCAGCAUUAGCAUGAGUUGAAGACCUCCAUGGACUGAAAUUUCCCAGGAGGUGUAACAAGGUGGAAUUUGCUCUCCCCUGCUGCACUAUCUAUGGAUGUACUCAUGCAUAAGACAGUGGGAGUGGCAUGGGACCCAGGGAGCCUUUCUUGAUGCCAUGUGGAGGGCCACCAUGGAACUCCUUGGCUUUCUUAUCAUGGGAAACCACACUGGCAUGGGACGAUGCAGGGGAGGCUGCUGGGGCUGCCAGCAUGCUCAUGAAUGCAGGGCUGAAGGUCAGCCCUGGUCAGAGAGCUGCUCCCAGCUCUUUGUGUGUUGUCUACAAAGCAAAUGCCUUGUUCAAACAUGCUCCUCCAUUGGCAAACAGGAAAAGAAAUGCAAUAAAAUAAUGCUGCUUGGGGCUGGGAGUGGGGCGCUGCUAUGGCUCCACAGAGCUGAGCUCUGGGAAAGGCAGCAAGUGAGAGAAAGCCCUCGAUGGUGGAAGAAGCUGGAAUGUCCUCUUCUCUUGUGCAGUAUGUCUCCAUCUUCUGCUCUGAUCACGGCAGGGAUUAGCUGUGAGAGAGGAGGGUUUCUUGGCUCUGCCCCAUUUCUGAAGCCCUUUGGGUAGAAGUGGUGAUUUCUGUGAGUUGAGUUGGGUGCUUCUUCAGCCAUGUGAGCCUAUUCUUGGGAAGGUGAUGCCCAUGCUAUGAGGACCAUGAAUCAGAAUAAUAGACUGGCUUAGAUUGGGACAUUAAAGAUCGUCAUUUCCAAUGCCCUGGUCCUGCUUGUUCAUCUAAAUAAGAGAGGGAUUCAUCUCAUCCAACUUUAGAUCCCUGGAUUCCUUCUACAGGUGAUAAGUAGGAAUAGUCCCUCCCAUCCAGGAUUCAACUGACUGAUGUUGGUGGCUAACUCUGGGUGGGAUGACUUGUGUCACUCUGAGCACAGAGGAAGACUCAACAGAUGUAGUCUGCUGUGGGUGAAAAGUCUAUGUUCAGGCAGAGGAAACCCCUGUGAUGUGACUUAGUGUCUUCCCAGUGAAUUCGCGUGGUAGGUCAUAGGGUAUCAUCAACCACUUACCAACCCAGACUAUAUUGGCUAUGUUCCUUCCCUGUUCUUAUCUUCUUUACAUUUUAUAUAUAUAUAUAUAUAUAUAUACACACAUAUAUAAAGUCUAUACUGUGAUCAAAUGACCCUCCAACGAAUAAUUGCAUUGUUGGGAUUUCAUUCUUCCACUAUAAAGUGAUUCCUCCAGCACCUGAAACAUGUUGUUAUUUUAGGCUUUCUCUCAUUUCAAAUGGUGCCUUUGGAUGCCAAAAAGCAUG
ensembl:lncRNA